rnacentral:rRNA from 1 species
AGAAUCAACGCUGGCGGCGUGCCUAACACAUGCAAGUCGAACGAGAAAGUGGAGCAAUCCAUUAGUAAAGUGGCGCACGGGUGAGUAACACGUGACUAACCUACCCUUGAGUGGGGGAUAACCUAGAGAAAUCUGGGCUAAUACCGCAUAAUACCUUCGGGUCAAAGGAGCAAUUCGCUUAAGGAGGGGUCGCGGCCGAUUAGUUAGUUGGCGGGGUAAUGGCCCACCAAGACUAUGAUCGGUAUCCGGCCUGAGAGGGCGCACGGACACACUGGAACUGAAACACGGUCCAGACUCCUACGGGAGGCAGCAGUGGGGAAUUUGCGCAAUGGGGGAAACCCUGACGCAGCAACGCCGCGUGGAGGAUGAAGCCCCUUGGGGCGUAAACUCCUUUCGAUCGGGACGAUAAUGACGGUACCGAGAGAAGAAAGCCCCGGCUAACUUCGUGCCAGCAGCCGC